rfam:Schistosoma haematobium scaffold998_29, whole genome shotgun sequence.
AUUCGGCUGGUGAGCCCCAAAUAGGACGAAACGCGCUUCCUGUAU